GGGAGCCUACGGGAGGCAGCAGUAGGGAAUAUUGCACAAUGGGGGAAACCCUGAUGCAGCAACGCCGCGUGAGUGAAGAAGUAUUUCGGUAUGUAAAGCUCUAUCAGCAGGGAAGAAGAAAGACGGUACCUGACUAAGAAGCCCCGGCUAACUACGUGCCAGCAGCCGCGGUAAUACGUAGGGGGCAAGCGUUAUCCGGAAUGAUUGGGCGUAAAGGGUGCGUAGGCGGCCUGCUAAGUCUGGAGUGAAAGGUACCGGCUCAACCGGUACAGGCCCUGGAAACUGGCGGGCUAGAGAGCAGGAGG
rnacentral:rRNA from 1 species